ACAAUCACCAUCCAAGAUGGCGGAUGAGAUGAGGGAGAAAGUCUCGCAACUUCUGAAGGGUAUUGACAGAUAUAACCCCGAAAAUCUUAAAACAUUGGAAGGCUAUGUUCACUUUCAGGUGUACAAUAAUGCAUAUGAUGUGGAUGCAAAUCUUGCAGUUUUAAAGCUGUAAGUAUUAAUCAGUUUUUCAAAAAUAAUUUUUAU